GAUUGCCGGAUUACAGGUGACAGUGCAACUUUUCAUUUCCUCAUUGGUGCAGCACAAGGAAACUCAGCAUCGUUCCACGUAAGCAUUGGAAGUUGUUAUCAGCCUUCGAUUUUGAAUUACACUGAUUGAAUAUAUCGCCAACCAUUAACACUUUGGCUAUCAUGAAGCUUCUUGUUCUGACAAUUCUACUUUUAUGCGUGCAUAACAUUGUCAUCGGAGUCAGUCAAAAGAUUACCAAGAAAUUGUCUAUUACACAAAAUACGGGAAAAUUUCAAAGCUCGGGGACUUUUGAGAUGAAAGCGCCAGAUCUAAAUGAUGAAGAGUUUCAUUCCAGCCAUAUGCCUGAUCAUUUGAAAUGUGAUUCCUGCAGAGCUAUUUCUUACCAGAUGCAAGAAUAUCUUUCCAAAAGGGAAUCACAGAUCUCCGCAGUGAAAGAGGGCAAAGCAAUGCUGAUUGAAUCUGAGUACACUGAUGCUUUGGAGAAGUGCUGUGCUCAGAGUUGGGAAAGGCAUGGUGUAAUAGACGUGGAUAGUGUUAAACGCCUGUCGGGUCCAGGACUGGAAACAGAAGACUUUACAGGAGUGAAAAUGUUGAGUGGACCAUGGCCUGGAAGAUUGUUCAAAAUGUGCCAGGCUUACCUGGGAGAGUUCACAGAAGAUGACAUUUACAAGGAGUACAGAAAUAAUCGGGAUUACUUGGAAGAUUUUCUCUGCUAUGGUGAAAAUGGAGCUUGCACCAAGCACACAGGUUUUAAGGAUGAAAUGUAAACUUUGAGCACAAUAGUAAGCAUAUUGGGUGUGGGGUGCAAGUGGAGAAUUGGGAAAAGGUGACGAGAGGUAGUGAAGGUGAUAGAAACAGCAACAUGCAAGGUUUCCAUUUAUUAAAAUGGUGAAACUGAAAAUGAGGAAUCAGGCACAAUUCACACCAGCCCUGACAUGGUUUCCGUUCAGGUUUCCUAAGUGAGACAGGGGCAUUACAUAAUCAAUAUAUUAAUCCAACUAAAUCUAAUUUAAAUUGAUGAUCAGUUCUGUUUUCAAAACUUAAUAUUCUAAGAUAUUCUAGCAUAUAAAUGUUUUGGAUACAGGGAAACCAAUUAUAUCCAAAUACAUACCGGCCUUAUUUAAAACAAACUAUUGAUUGUGUUGAACAAUGUGGAAAACAUUAACUAGUUUCAUUAAAGUUAAAUUCAGAGUUAUCUGUUGUAGCGUCUUCAGCAUUACAUUUAUUUUGGGCAGAAAUAACUGGAGAUUAGUGUUUUAUUGGAUAGUGUGCCAAUAGUUGAUGUCAGGGCUGCAGUUUUUCUGUGUUCCAAACUUAUGUAACAGAGAUCAACAUAAAUAAACAUAUUUGACAUAAUUUCAAGCUUUGAAAUUAC